rnacentral:rRNA from 1 species
UACGUCGGUCCCGAGCGUUGUCCGGAUUUAUUGGGCGUAAAGCGAGCGCAGGUGGUUUAUUAAGUCUGGUGUAAAAGGCAGUGGCUCAACCAUUGUAUGCAUUGGAAACUGGUAGACUUGAGUGCAGGAGAGGAGAGUGGAAUUCCAUGUGUAGCGGUGAAAUGCGUAGAUAUAUGGAGGAACACCGGUGGCGAAAGCGGCUCUCUGGCCUGUAACUGACACUGAGGCUCGAAAGCGUGGGGAGCAAACAGG